ACUAAAUAAACGACGAUCUUAUACUGUAUCUGAUGAAUGUGAUAU
rnacentral:guide_RNA from 1 species